GAGCGAACACAGCUCUUCUAGAGUUUUUCUAGCAGGAUUUCUGAUUUUGGUUGGAAACUCCAAG